rnacentral:tRNA from 1 species
GAUCUGAUAGUUCAGCGGGAGAAUACUUCCUUGACAGGGAAGGGGUCGGGGGUUCGAAUCCCUCUCAGAUCAUCA